CUGUGGUAAUUCCAGAGCUAAUACAUGCAACCUGUAUACCCUGAGGGUGCCGCUUGGGCGCGUGUUCACGCGGGCUCCUUGUGUGUGUGCCUGACGGGUGCUUUUAUUAGACCAAACAUCGCUGGCGGCGCAAGCCGCUAGGCUCAUCAUAUGGUGACUCUGGAUAACCUUUUGACAAGCGCACGUACUUCAUUCAUGGAGACGGCGCUGCCACUUUCGAGUGUCUGCCUUAUCAGCUAUCAACCGUUCGUUAUGUGCGACCGAUGGCUUUGACGGGUAACGGGGAAUCAGGGUUCGAUUCCGGAGAGGCAGCCUGAGAAACGGCUACCACGUCCAAGGACGGCAGCAGGCACGCAAAUUACCCAAUCCCAGCACCUGGGGGAGGUAGUGACGAAAUCUAACGAUGCGGGCGCCCAUUCUGGGCCUCGCAAUCGGAAUGAGCAUUUUCUAAACAACCUGUUGAGAACCUACUGAAGGGCAAGUCUGGUGCCAGCAGCCGCGGUAAUUCCAGCUUCAGCAGCAUAUAUUAAAGUUGCUGCGGUUAAAAGGCUCGCAGUUGAAUGUCAGUGUUGGGCGAUGGUAAGGUGGACGCUGGAGCAUGGGAACUAAGCGCGCUCGCGUGCAGCUCGGGGGCGUUUGUUCGCGCGCGUGUUGUGUGCCUAGCGCUCACGCGUGAAAAACCCGCACGUGUGCGGGUGGUGCCUUCGUCUCUCGCGAGCGUCUCUCACAAGCUCCCGUCUGUUACAAGCCUCCUCGCUCCAGUACAUGGGUGGUAACUCCUCUCCUCGGAUUGCGUGCGUCUCUCCCAGCCUUGCGAAAGCCGUCUCUGUCUUCCACCACUCGUGUGUGCGUCUCUCGCGCUAAGAGUGGGCUCGGGGGCUUUUCGGUCUAGCCUGGCGCUAUAAAGGAGGGUCGUUUUCGUGCCGAGGAGUGGGGCGCGGUCUUGCGCGCGGGCCAGAGUGCGUGUCUGAGGCGCGCGUGUUUGGGUGUGGGUGCGUGCGAGCCGGGGGGAUGAUAUAAUAUCACUCUCUCCGCCGCCGCCUCGCGCUCGCGCGCGCGUUCUCUCUCGCAUGUCUCUCGCGUCGCGCGCGUCCCUCUCGGUGUGUGUUGCUGCAUUGUCACCUUGAGUAAAUCGGAGUGCUCAAAGCAGUCGUAAAGGGCUUCGGCCCUGUGAUAAGUCUUGACGGACUGUCUUGAUUUUGCAUGGUAUGUCGGAAAACGACGUCGAGUGCUGGCUCAGAGUCUAUAGAAGUGGUUUCAAGCCAAGGCCUCGACGUAAUGAUUAAAAGGAACGGUCGAGGGCAUUGGUAUUGCGAGGCGAGAGGUGAAAUUCUAUGACCCCCGCAAGACCGCCUGAAGCGAAAGCGUCUGCCAAGGACGUUUUCAUUAAUCAUGAACGAAAGUUAGAGGAUCGAAGGCGAUCAGAUACCGCCCUAGUUCUGACCCUAAACGAUGCCAACCAUCAAUCCGCGUGAGCACCCUUUUUGACGGGCUCGGCGGGCAGCUCUCUUUUCACGGGAAACCAGAGUCUCUGGGUUCCGGGGGGAGUCUGGUUGCAAAGCUGAAACUUAAAGGAAUUGACGGAAAGGCACCACCAGGAGUGGAGCCUGCGGCUUAAUUUGACUCAACACGGGCCAUCUCACCAGGCCAGAACUCUAGCACGAUUGACAGAUUGAGAGCUCUUUCUCGAUUGAGUGGAUGGUGGUGCAUGGCCGUUCUUAGUUGGUGGAGUGAUCUGUCUGGUUAAUUCCGAUAACGAACGAGACUCUCCCCUGCUAACUAGUCGGUUGGAUCUUGUAUUUCGAUGCGAGUCGUGCGCCGGGUUUUCCUUCGCCUCGCGGCUGCGGUGUGCGAGGGUGAUUCCCGUCUCGUGUGUGCGCGCGCGCUGGCUGUGUGCGUGAGUUUUCGUGUGGGCGUGGAGGCGCGCGUUCUCUAAAAAGGGCGUGUGUCGUUUUGCGCUUGUGCGGGCUUGCGUGUGCUUCUCGGCGUGUGUGUGUGUGCGGGCGGGCUCUUUCUCUCUCUGUGCCGUUCUCGUUGCUUGGUGUGUCUGGUUUUCCCGGGUCGUACACUCCAAGUCCGCCGCUUAUGCUAUAAAACUCUUCUUAGAGGGAUCAACGGCUCUGAAGCCGUACGAGACUGAGAGCAAUAACAGGUCUGUGAUGCCCUUAGAUGUUCUGGGCCGCACGCGCGCUACAAUGCCGGGCACAGCAGGUGUUUUCCCUACUCCGAAAGGAGCGGGCAACCCUCUGAAAGCCCCUUCUCAUCAAAUGUAUCGGCCGGCGAGCAAAAUCGUCGGUCGUGUGUAUUGGCGUGCUUGGGCCUGGGGCUUGCAAUUCUUUCCCACAAACGAGGAAUGCCUAGUAGCGGCG
rnacentral:rRNA from 1 species